AGUGAACGCUGGCGGUAGGCCUAACACAUGCAAGUCGAACGGCAGCACAGUAAGAGCUUGCUCUUACGGGUGGCGAGUGGCGGACGGGUGAGGAAUACAUCGGAAUCUACUUUUUCGUGGGGGAUAACGUAGGGAAACUUACGCUAAUACCGCAUACGACCUACGGGUGAAAGCAGGGGAUCUUCGGACCUUGCGCGAUUGAAUGAGCCGAUGUCGGAUUAGCUAGUUGGCGGGGUAAAGGCCCACCAAGGCGACGAUCCGUAGCUGGUCUGAGAGGAUGAUCAGCCACACUGGAACUGAAACACGGUACAGACUCCUACGGGAGGCAGCAGUGGGGAAUAUUGGACAAUGGGCGCAAGCCUGAUCAAGCCAUACCGCGUGGGUGAAGAAGGCCUUCGGGUUGUAAAGCCCUUUUGUUGGGAAAGAAAAGCAGCAGGUUAAUACCCCGCUGUUCUGACGGUACCCAAAGAAUAAGCACCGGCUAACUUCGUG
rnacentral:rRNA from 1 species